rnacentral:rRNA from 1 species
UUGGAGGGCAAGUCUGGUGCCAGCAGCCGCGGUAAUUUCCAGCUCCAAUAGCGUAUAUUAAAGUUGUUGCAGUUAAAAAGCUCGUAGUUGAAUUUCGGGACUAAUAUGUCGGUCGUACUUUGUACGUACUAGCAUUAUUGGUUUCUCCCUUCUGACGAACCACGAUGUCAUUAAUUUGGUGUCAUGGGAAAUCAGGACUGUUACUUUGAAAAAAUUAGAGUGUUUAAAGCAAGCUCGCGCUUGAAUACAUUAGCAUGGAAUAAUGAAAUAGGACGUUUGAUUCUAUUUUGUUGGUUUCUAGGAUCGACGUAAUGAUUAAUAGGGAUAGUUGGGGGCAUUAGUAUUCAAUUGUCAGAGGUGAAAUUCUUGGAUUUAUUGAAGACUAACUACUGCGAAAGCAUUUGCCAAGGAUGUUUUCAUUAAUCAGUGAACGAAAGUUAGGGGAUCGAAGACGAUCAGAUACCGUCGUAGUCUUAACCAUAAACUAUGCCGACUAGGGAUCGGGCGGUGUUAUUAUUUUGACUCGCUCGGCACCUUACGGGAAACCAAAGUGUUUGGGUUC